rnacentral:rRNA from 1 species
AGGACGAACGCUGGCGGCGUGCUUAACACAUGCAAGUCGAACGGAGUCCAUCCGGUGGCAACACCGGUGAAGACUCAGUGGCGAACGGGUGCGGAACACGUGAGCAACCUGCCCCAAAGACCGGGAUAACACCGGGAAACUGGUGCUAAUACCGGAUACCCCCACGAGCUCGCAUGGGCUUGUGAGGAAAGGGUUUCCGCUUUGGGAGGGGCUCGCGGCCUAUCAGCUAGUUGGUGAGGUAACGGCUCACCAAGGCGACGACGGGUAGCUGGUCUGAGAGGACGAUCAGCCACACUGGGACUGAGACACGGCCCAGACUCCUACGGGAGGCAGCAGUGGGGAAUCUUGCGCAAUGGGCGAAAGCCUGACGCAGCAACGCCGCGUGGGGAUGAAGGCCUUCGGGUUGUAAACCCCUUUCAGUGGGACGAAAUUGACGGUACCCACAGAAGAAGCCCGGCCAACUACGUGCCAGCAGCCGCGGUAAU